AUUGAACGCUGGCGGCAUGCUUUACACAUGCAAGUCGAACGGUAACAGGCCGCAAGGUGCUGACGAGUGGCGAACGGGUGAGUAAUGCAUCGGAACGUGCCCAGUCGUGGGGGAUAACUGCUCGAAAGAGCAGCUAAUACCGCAUACGAUCUAUGGAUGAAAGCGGGGGACCGUAAGGCCUCGCGCGAUUGGAGCGGCCGAUGUCAGAUUAGGUAGUUGGUGGGGUAAAGGCUCACCAAGCCAACGAUCUGUAGCUGGUCUGAGAGGACGACCAGCCACCCUGGGACUGAGAACCGGCCCAGACUCCUACGGGAGGCAGCAGUGGGGAAUUUUGGGCAAUGGGGGCAACCCUGAUCCAGCAAUGCCGCGUGAAGGAAGAAGGCCUUCGGGUUGUAAACUGCUUUUGUACGGAACGAAACGGUCUGGGUUAAUACCCUGGGCUAAUGACGGUACCGUAAGAAUAAGCACCGGCUAACUACGUGCCAGCCGCCGCAGUAACAC
rnacentral:rRNA from 1 species